rnacentral:rRNA from 1 species
CAGUAGCCACGGUAACACGGAGGAUCCAAGCGUUAUCCGGAAUCAUUGGGUUUAAAGGGUCCGUAGGCGGUCUUGUAAGUCAGUGGUGAAAGCCCAUCGCUCAACGGUGGAACGGCCAUUGAUACUGCAGGACUUGAAUUAUUGGGAAGUAACUAGAAUAUGUAGUGUAGCGGUGAAAUGCUUAGAGAUUACAUGGAAUACCAAUUGCGAAGGCAGGUUACUACCAAUUGAUUGACGCUGAUGGACGAAAGCGUGGGUAGCGAACAGGAUUAGAUACCCGCGUAGUCCCUGUCUCUUAUAC